rnacentral:lncRNA from 10 species
CACAGAGGUGCUGGCAGAUCCCUAUCUUUCAAGCUCUCCUCUCAGCCUGAAGCUUUCUGACGAAGUCUUUCCUCCCAGCUUCUCAUUGCUUCUGGAGCUGCCAGUAAUUAAAGAGACACAGGAAGAAAUAAAAGAAAAUGCCACUCACAAGGAAUCAAAGAAAACAACACUCAGAACACAUCAGCCAGUUCUCUGCUGAAGCUCUCAGGGGCUCUGUGUGGCAGGAAUACCAAGCUGAAGGCUUUUUGUAUGUCUGACACCCAUGGCUCCACCUGGACCCUCCAACUCUGCUCCUGUGGUCCCACCCAGAAGCAAUUCAGCACACAGGAGAACAGGUGCAACUGGCUAUGAUUUCAUCUCUGCACCAACCAACCAGCUGCAAGCCUAGCCACCCCCACCCCUUCCCCCAAAGAUGCCUUUGAGAAACGCCUAACUUGUGAGCUUUGGAGAAUGAUUUGAGUACUAACUCCAUCUCCCAUGUGGUGUGGCCAGCCUGUCUAUUAAACUCUUCCUUUGCUACAAUACCAUGGUCUUUCUUUGUGUAGGGGGCAGGAAAGAACCCCUUGGGCCAUUACAUUCUAAGAAAACAUUAAGAGUAUCAUGGCUAACCACUUUCUUCUCUCUGCAG